AACGAACGCUGGCGGCGUGUUUAAGACAUGCAAGUCGCACGGGAUCAAUUUGGUAGUAAUACUCGAUUGGUCCAGUGGCGCACGGGUGAGUAACAUGUGAAUGACAUGCCCUUCAGUGGGGAAUAGCCCAGGGAAACUUGGAUUAAUACCCCAUGGUAUCGCAAGAUUAAAGGUGGCCGCAAGGCUGUCGCUGAAGGAUUGGUUCGCACCCUAUCAGCUUGUUGGCGGGGUAACGGCCCACCAAGGCUACGACGGGUACCUGGUCUGAGAGGACGAUCAGGCACACUGGAACUGAGACACGGUCCAGACACCUACGGGUGGCAGCAGUCGAGGAUAAUUCACAAUGGGGGCAACCCUGAUGGUGCAACGCCGCGUGGAGGAUGACGGUCUUCGGAUUGUAAACUCCUGUCAUCCGGGAGUAAGACCUGGCUGUGAAUAGCAGACAGGGUUGAUAGUACCGGAAGAGGAAGGGACGGCUAACUUCGUGCCAGCCGCCGCAGUAAAAC
rnacentral:rRNA from 1 species